rnacentral:rRNA from 1 species
AAACCAGCACCUCAAGUGGUCAGGAGGAUUAUUGGGCCUAAAGCAUCCGUAGCCUGCUCUGUAAGUUUCCGGUUAAAUUCAUUAGCUCAACUAAUGGCCUGCCGGAAAUACUGCAGAGCUCGGAAGUGGGAGAGGUAGACGGUACUCGGUAGGAAGGGGUAAAAUCCUUUGAUCUAUUGAUGACCACCUGUGGCGAAGGCGGUCUACCAGAACACGUUCGACGGUGAGGGAUGAAAGCUGGGGGAGCAAACCGGAUUAGAAACCCGAGUAGUCC